GCAAUACCGCGAGGUGGAGCUAAUCUCAAAAACCGGUCUCAGUUCGGAUUGGAGUCUGCAACUCGACUCCAUGAAGUUGGAAUCGCUAGUAAUCCUGAAUCAGAAUGUCAGGGUGAAUACGUUCCCGGGUGUUGUACACACCGCCCGUCACGCUAUGAGAGUCUGUAAUACCCGAAGUUGGUAGCCUAACCUUUUAGGAGGGGGCCGGCGAAGGUAGGACAGGUGAUUGGAGUGAAGUCGUAACAAGGUAAC
rnacentral:rRNA from 1 species